rnacentral:rRNA from 1 species
UACGGAGGGAGCUAGCGUUGUUCGGAAUUACUGGGCGUAAAGCGCACGUAGGCGGCUUUGUAAGUUAGAGGUGAAAGCCCGGAGCUCAACUCCGGAAUUGCCUUUAAGACUACAUCGCUUGAAUCCGGGAGAGGUGAGUGGAAUUCCGAGUGUAGAGGUGAAAUUCGUAGAUAUUCGGAAGAACACCAGUGGCGAAGGCGGCUCACUGGACCGGUAUUGACGCUGAGGUGCGAAAGCGUGGGGAGCAAACAGG